rnacentral:rRNA from 1 species
UACGUAGGGGGCUAGCGUUGUCCGGAAUCAUUGGGCGUAAAGCGCGCGUAGGCGGCCCGGUAAGUCCGCUGUAAAAGUCAAAGGCUCAACCUUUGAAUGUCAGUGGAUACUGCCGGGCUAGAGUCCGGAAGAGGCGAGUGGAACUCCUGGUGUAGCGGUGGAAUGCGCAGAUAUCAGGAGGAACACCGAUGGCGAAGGCAGGUCUCUGGGCAGUUACUGACGCUGAGGAGCGAAAGCAUGGGGAGCGAACAGG